UGCCAGUGAUAAACUGGAGGAAGGUGGGGAUGACGUCAAGUCAUCAUGGCCCUUACGACCAGGGCUACACACGUGCUACAAUGGCAUAUACAAAGAGAAGCGACCUCGCGAGAGCAAGCGGACCUCAUAAAGUAUGUCGUAGUCCGGAUUGGAGUCUGCAACUCGACUCCAUGAAGUCGGAAUCGCUAGUAAUCGUAGAUCAGAAUGCUACGGUGAAUACGUUCCCGGGCCUUGUACACACCGCCCGUCACACCAUGGGAGUGGGUUGCAAAAGAAGUAGGUAGCUUAACCUUCGGGAGGGCGCUUACCACUUUGUGAUUCAUGACUGGGGUGAAGUCGUAACAAGGUAACCGUAGGGGAACCUGCGGUUGGAUCACCUCCUUACCUUAAAGAA
rnacentral:rRNA from 1 species